AAAUGUUUCAAACUUUAACAAAACCUAAUCCUCAUAUACAUAAUACAGCAAUGUGACACGAUAAACAAAUCCUUCGCUGUACUAUAUGAGGAAAACAAAUGAUGGGGUGAUCUCCCCAGAAAAUAAAGCAUGUAUGUACUUCAAGAUCAUAGUACAAAAUUUAUUUGAUAUAAAGUAAGAUCCUAAUCCAUCUAAUCACCGUAAAAACUUGUGUCUAUCACAAUAAAUGCCACCCAUUUGCCAUUUUCGAGGAAAUAAAAUAAUUACCCAGCAGAAGAAUAUUAAGGUGCUAAAAGCAAUAAAUUCCAAGAAAUCUCAAA
rnacentral:misc_RNA from 1 species